rnacentral:rRNA from 1 species
GACGAACUGUCCAAACGUUGUUCGGAAUCACUGGGCUUAAAGGGCGCGUAGGCGGUCGGCCAAGUCAGGGGUGAAAUCCUGCAGCUUAACUGUAGAAGUGCCUUUGAUACUGGUCGUCUCGAGGGAGGUAGGGGUGUGUGGAACUCACAGUGGAGCGGUGAAAUGCGUUGAUAUUGUGAGGAACGCCGGGGGCGAAAGCGACGCACUGGACCUCUUCUAACGCUGAGGCGCGAAAGCCAGGGGAGCAAACGGG